CCCAGUUCCAAAGACAGAGAAAGUGUUGAUCUUGUGGCGGAUAACACCUUUUGGUAGGAUUGACCCGAGUAGCCAACUACCUACAGGAGGAAUACCACAAUAGCCCAACGACGCAGCAGUCCAUGACAGUUGAGGAUGACAGCAAGCCAGUCCCCGGUAUCAAAAAGGUUGAGAAACACUGUUCUACAACAUUCUUGGAGCCGAGGAGAGGCGGAAGGGGAGCACCAGAUACUGAAAAAGAUCUUGGCCUACCACAAAUGAGAGGAAUCUCUUGUGAGGAGUGUAGAUGCCUAAUGAGCGAAAAGUGGUCCUGGAAUCUUUAAGGGUAUGUAAUGACUUGUCAAGGUUCUCUGCAAACAACUUCAGUUCAUCAAAUGGGAAAUCCCCUACUGUAUUCUGGACUUCUUUGUGGAAGCCAGACAACUGUAGCCAGGAAGUCCUAUGCACCAUCACAACCGCGGAAAUGAAACGGGCUGUAGUGUCUGCAAUAUUGAGAGCUGUCUGCAACAGUCUUCUUGCCACUAACUGUCCCUCAGCAACCGUGGCCUGGAAUUGUUCCCUUUUAUCUGG